rnacentral:rRNA from 1 species
AGCGAACGCUGGCGGCAGGCCUAACACAUGCAAGUCGAACGGACCCUUCGGGGUUAGUGGCGGACGGGUGAGUAACACGUGGGAACGUGCCUUUAGGUUCGGAAUAGCUCCUGGAAACGGGUGGUAAUGCCGAAUGUGCCCUUCGGGGGAAAGAUUUAUCGCCUUUAGAGCGGCCCGCGUCUGAUUGGCUAGUUGGUGAGGUAAUGGCUCACCAAGGCGACGAUCAGUAGCUGGUCUGAGAGGAUGACCAGCCACAUUGGGACUGAGACACGGCCCAAACUCCUACGGGAGGCAGCAGUGGGGAAUCUUGCGCAAUGGGCGAAAGCCUGACGCAGCCAUGCCGCGUGAAUGAUGAAGGUCUAGGAUUGUAAAAUUCUUUCACCGGGGACGAUAAUGACGGUACCCGGAGAAGAAGCCCCGGCUAACUUCGUGCCAGCCGCCGCGGUAACAC